rnacentral:rRNA from 1 species
CAGGCUUAACACAUGCAAGUCGAGGGGAAACGAUAGAGAAAGCUUGCUUUUUCUAGGCGUCGACCGGCGCACGGGUGAGUAACGCGUAUCCAACCUGCCCAUCACUUGGGGAUAACCUUGCGAAAGUAAGACUAAUACCCAAUGAUAUCUCUAGAAGACAUCUGAAAGAGAUUAAAGAUUUAUCGGUGAUGGAUGGGGAUGCGUCUGAUUAGCUUGUUGGCGGGGUAACGGCCCACCAAGGCGACGAUCAGUAGGGGUUCUGAGAGGAAGGUCCCCCACAUUGGAACUGAGACACGGUCCAAACUCCUACGGGAGGCAGCAGUGAGGAAUAUUGGUCAAUGGAUGAGAGUCUGAACCAGCCAAGUAGCGUGCAGGAUGACGGCCCUAUGGGUUGUAAACUGCUUUUAUAAGGGAAUAAAGUGAGUCUCGUGAGACUUUUUGCAUGUACCUUAUGAAUAAGGACCGGCUAAUUCCGUGCCAGCAGCCGCGGUAAUACGGAAGGUCCGGGCGUUAUCCGGAUUUAUUGGGUUUAAAGGGAGCGUAGGCCGGAGAUUAAGCGUGUUGUGAAAUGUAGACGCUCAACGUCUGCACUGCAGCGCGAACUGGUUUCCUUGAGUACGCACAAAGUGGGCGGAAUUCGUGGUGUAGCGGUGAAAUGCUUAGAUAUCACGAAGAACUCCGAUUGCGAAGGCAGCUCACUGGAGCGCAACUGACGCUGAAGCUCGAAAGUGCGGGUAUCGAACAGGAUUAGAUACCCUGGUAGUCCGCACGGUAAACGAUGGAUGCCCGCUGUUGGUCUGAAUAGGUCAGCGGCCAAGCGAAAGCAUUAAGCAUCCCACCUGGGGAGUACGCCGGCAACGGUGAAACUCAAAUGAAUUGACG